UACCAGCUCUCCGAGUGGUGUGGAUGUUUAUUGGGCCUAAAGCAUCCGUAGCUGGCUGGGCAAGUCCCCUGUUAAAUCCACCGAUUUAAUCGUUGGUGUGCGGGGGAUACUGUUCGGCUAGGGGACGGGAGAGGCCUACGGUAUUUUCGGGGUAGGGGUGAAAUCCUAUAAUCCCGGGAAGACCACCAGUGGCGAAGGCUGUCGGCUAGAACGCGCCCGACGGUGAGGGAUGAAAGCUGGGGGAGCGAACCGGAUUAGAUACCCGGGUAGUCCCAGCUGUAAACGAUGCAGGCUAGGUGUUUGGGCGGCCACGUGCCGCUCUAGUGCCGCAGAGAAGUCGUUAAGCCUGCCGCCUGGGGAGUACGGCCGCAAGGCUGAAACUUAAAGGAAUUGGCGGGGAGCACCACAAGGGGUGAAGCUUGCGGUUU
rnacentral:rRNA from 1 species